GACUUUUUAACUAUUUAAGUAUAUAUUUUGAAAAUAUAAAAAAGAGAUAAUUCUCUAUAAGUCU
rnacentral:tRNA from 1 species